rnacentral:tRNA from 1 species
GUGAGUGUAGCUCAGCUGGUAGAGCACUGGGUUGUGGCCCCAGUGGUCGAGGGUUCGAGUCCCUUCACUCACC